UGGGGAAUAUUGCACAAUGGGCGAAAGCCUGAUGCAGCGACGCCGCGUGAGGGAUGACGGCCUUCGGGUUGUAAACCUCAUUCAGCAGGGACGAAGCGCAAGUGACGGUACCUGCAGAAGAAGCACCGGCUAACUACGUGCCAGCAGCCGCGGUAAUACGUAGGGUGCAAGCGUUGUCCGGAAUUACUGGGCGUAAAGAGUUCGUAGGCGGUUUGUCGCGUCGUUUGUGAAAACCAGCAGCUCAACUGCUGGCUUGCAGGCGAUACGGGCAGACUUGAGUACUGCAGGGGAGACUGGAAUUCCUGGUGUAGCGGUGAAAUGCGCAGAUAUCAGGAGGAACACCGGUGGCGAAGGCGGGUCUCUGGGCAGUAACUGACGCUGAGGAACGAAAGCGUGGGUAGCGAACAGG
rnacentral:rRNA from 1 species